rnacentral:tRNA from 10 species
GAGAGGGAAAUCAGGAGCAUGGGAGGUCUAACAACCCAAUUCGUGUAGAAAGAUCUCCCAGACAAGGACAUAAUUCACAGUAUCAAACAGCAGUUGUGCCAAGUAAGCUAAGCUCCAAAAAGGGCCCAUUGGAUUUGACAAAUUGAACGUCAUUUUGGGUUUGGGCAAGAGUAGUUUCAGAGGAAUAGUGAAAGCACAAGCCAGAUUACAGUGGACCGAGAAGUAAACAAGACAUAAGAAAAUGACAUAGUGGGACAAUAAGAUUAGAUUGUCUUAGGGAUUCUGUGUGUGGGACAGACCCACAAGAAGAUGAAGCCUGAAUAGCCUUUGAGGAAGGAUUAGAUAUCUUCUAGGUGGACUGAAGAGAAGGCUUUACAGUGGAGAACACAAACAAAGCACAGAGGCGUUACACAGCUUGGUUUGCUGCAACAACCCAAGAAGUUUAGCGUUGUCAAGGCAUUAAUGUGAAGGGAAUGGGGUGUAGGAAUUGGAUUGUGAACCUGAACCCAGAGCCUUUGGGAACUCCAUAGAAACAGAGGACUAAGGGACACCUUGAGGAGAUAGCCAGUAGAGAAGAAGGUCUCAUCAUCACAAUGUAUUGCCAAAGCAGCCUAAGAUUAAUCUACUUGCCAUCACCAAGGCAAAGCAGGUCAUUCUGCCCUUGCGUUUCCACAUAGCCUCCUUAUGCCAUGCUGUGACCCUGAUAUUCAUAUUACCCUGAUUUCAACUGCACACUCAUUUUGGGAAUGAAAGACUCAUUUCAUGAGUUGGCUUUUACACCAUUAUUUCUCUUUCCCCAUGGCUUUUCCAGGUCAGUGUGAACCCUAUGGUGAAUCUUCAGAUAGAGGGUAUAAUUUACUUGGAGCCUAGGGAUUGAGCAAGAAAGCAACCUCUUCUCCAUUUCAAACACAAGUGUCAUUUUGCUCCAGAAUAACUCAAGGCAAUUUCUCAUGUGUUUUUCUCCAGGCAUCACUCUAUCCACAUACCCUGGUAGCAUUUCCAGUGGGAAUUUCAGAGACCGUAAGUUGCAGUCAGACAGUAAUUUUUCAUUUAGAAGGAUGAGAAUCACUGAAAGAUUUUGGGCCAUAAAAGACCAAAGAACAAACAAGGGUCAUAUGACUGAAGUAAGAAUGUCCCAGGGAGAUGUUUUAGGUCACUGAGCAGAAUGAAAUUCAUUUUAGGUUUAAGCUCUUUGCCUUAUCUUGGCAUUACCUUUAUAAUUAAAAUAAUAAUAGAAAAAGAAAUCAUGAAAAAGAUAUUGUCAGGAUAUGAUAGCAGUUGAUGAAACCAAGCUCACCUAUGCUUUCACUUGUUUUAAUACAACAUUUAAUGUAUGUACCCAAAGAACAUCACCGUAUUUUAUACUAAGCAUGGCGAUAUGAAAUUUUACAAACUUAAAACACAAUAACUAUAAUUCUGGCAAGAUCUAAAAUUUAUCAUUGCCAAAUACUUUCCACUCUAACCUCAUUUCUUCUCGGUUGAAAUUUGUACAAAUGCUUUCUCUCUCUAAGGGGCAGGGGUUUCUCUGCUCAGAGGUGAGAUGAAUGUCUAAAAAGAUAAUUUGAAGUCUUCUGAGCCACUUUUUAGUCAUAAGCACAAAAAACAAUCACCCAUAUUGAACCUUUAAAAUAUAAAGAUUCUUGAACUUUAAACACAAAUAUCAAUGAUGUGGGAAUUAUUUUAUUCUUCAUAUAAAAUUUUAGAAGUUUUAAGAAUGGCUCAAAAUUAUGUUAGAAUAUUAGAUGUAGUUAGGAUAACUGAGUUUAAUUUUAAACAGUUUAUAGAGAUUGGUAUGUACAUACACUUAGCAAAAAGAAUCCUGUGUGAAACAUAUUUUAGUAGAUCAAAAUUUCAAUAAAGUUAAAAAAUAAAAAUACUAAAUUAGACUAGCAAUUUUCAUUAUGUUAUUUUAUACAUGUACAGAUUUUUCCAUGUCAAAUUAUUUUAGGAACCUUAUCCAGAAAUCAGAAGUCUCUGACUUCACUUUAAUCUGGCCUGCUUCUCAUCAGAAGUAACUACUGACAAUUCUUUAGUCAGGUAUAUGCUUCCACAAUUCUAAAUAACAUACUUUUCCUGUUACCUCUUCACUUAUAAUUUUUAGGCAUUAUCUAUUGAAUUUCUAAAGAGAACAAAAAGCACCCUUAACAUCCCUCAUCCUCAAAUCCCUUUCUCUACAUUCUCCAGCAGUUAUGUCAUACUUUUGUGAUGAUCAUUUGAAGCAUGAUUUACUUCAUUUUUUCUGCUGCUAAUAAUCAUAUCUAUUUGUUUGCGUUCAUGACUUUUUAUCAUUGUAAUUAAUGCUUCCUAAGCUCUCCAAAUGAAUUAAAAACACCCAUGAAUUCACCUUGUCACAUUGCCAAGCACAUCCAGGAAGCUAACAGUUCAAUUUUCUUUUUUCCUUCUAGCCUAUUCCUGGUCCUCUGGAAAUUGCCUCCUUGCCCAAUCUGGAAAUUGCUCUAUGUCUACUCAACAGUUGCUGAAGUUGAGUAGUUCAGCAGUGAAGUUCUAUAACUUCACUUACUCUGAAUUCUCUUAGGUCUGGUCUUUCUUGUUCUUCCUUUGCCUCCUUGUCUUGGUGGAGUACAUCGUCUAAUACAGUGCCAUGCAGACUAGAGAGUCUGCAAGCCAUUUCUGGUGCACAGACUAUCAUCGUUCUGUGAUGAGAGGGAUCCAGAAAUCAAUAGGAAGCAUUCGAAGGCUUUUAUAAUACUUUGAUAGUGCUACUCCAUGCACACAUUUGAUCAAGGGCCAUGUUCACAAUUAGCACAUAGCAAAUUCUAACUUGGAACAAAUCAACCCAGCGAGUAUUUUUUUUAAAACUUUUUAGUACAAGUUGAGUAUUGGUCAUAUAUGGCUAAUGUAGUAAUUAUUUUAAAAUGUGUAAAAAUUAAAGAAAGCUUUUUCAUUGCAGAAAAUAAUUUACCUAGGUUUGCAGUCUAGAGUAUAAACUAUAAAAUAUUACACUUUGUAUCAAUAUGUCUAUCAAUAACAUAACAUCUUUUACUCAAAAAGUCUUAUUUUUUACUCAAAAAGCUAUCAGCUGUAAGGCUAAUGUAUUAUAUUCAGCUUAUUCUAUUAAUUAUGGAACAAUAAGGAAAGUAAUUGCAAACAGCUUUUUUGUAUGCUGAAGUAAAAUGGUUAUCAAGGGGAAAAACUCACUCUAGACUAAAUUGAAAUAGGGAAUCAACUCUGGUGCUCCUGAAAAAUAAGAAAUUUGUUGGGUCCCCCAAAUUUAAAGACAAAAAUUGAACACAAAUUUUACAAAUUUGCUUAUGUGUUUAAUAUCACUGAUAUUUCUAAUUAUCUGACUACUAUGUGAAGAAGGAAUGCAACAUACUUUUCAGUGGUAAAUCAAAUUGAAAGGCAAUGGAAAAAUUUACAAGUUAGAGAAUUUUUGCAGGCUGUUAUGAUAUAUACUUCAUAAUUUAACACAAUUUUCCAUAAAGUAGAAGGUAAUCUUGAUAUUAUACGUCUGAAAAAGUUAAAACUGAACACCUCACAAAUUUGAUAGAACAUUUUAAUCUCUAUUUUAUAUCACAAAAAAGGCAACAGGACAUUCAUGAGCUAGAACCUUGUUAUUUCAUUGGAAACAAAACGUUUAUAUUUUAAGGCAUAGAUUGUUGCAACUUUCUAUUGGUGAAAGAUUGAAAAUGAUUGUUGAAAUUGUAGCAUCAUUUGCUUCAUUUUAAAUAAAAGGUAAAACUGAAUAUCCUGAGCAUGCUGA